CUUGUUUCUAUUUUUUGUUCUCUUUCCUUUUAUGUAUACGAGAAUAAAUAUCAUUCUAUGUCAGAUGGACUUUUGGGGACAUUAGAAGACUCGAUUUUGAUAUCAAAUGAUGAAUCCUUAAGGUGUAUACCAGCUAUUGAAAAACUAAGACGAAUUGGAACGAUUAGAAAGAAUACAAGCGUCUCCGCUCCCGGUACCAACAUGAAAGGGAGGCAUGGACCGCACACGCCGUACCGGUGGGUGGUACCGACGUGUGACGGUUAAGGUGCUGUGGGAUUUGCCCGCCGUUUCUGUACAUAUUUAAACUCAAGAAGAGGAGUUCCAGGAUUAUUGUUGCUUUUUUACAAUCCGGUUUGAAGAAGCCACGUCGGUAGUGGCGAAACGCGUCCCGGUAUUUUUAAGCACAUUGUGGCUAUUUUAUUUAUGUAUAUGAGUGUAUUUAAAUAAAUAAUUGUUUUUAUUUUUGAAUAAUCCUGGUUCCCGAUAUCGUUACAUUGAAUGGGGAGUGCAGUACCGAAUUUGCACAACGCUAUGAAAUUGAGUCAAUAUAUUUUGACUCUACUUUUGUGAGUACCCACUUAAAGAUCAUAAUUAUUUGCUCUGGGAUAUUACAAACGAUAUUGCGCAAUUUUGUGUAUUUCCAUUUAUUCACAGACCUCAG